rnacentral:rRNA from 1 species
UACACGUAGGAACGUACCCCAAAGUGAGGGGAUAAGCACCAGAAAUGGUGUCUAAUACCGCAUGUGAUCUUCGGAUUAAAGCUCCGGCGCUUUGGGAACGGCCUGCGCAUGAUUAGCUUGUUGGUGAGGUAAUGGCUCACCAAGGCGACGAUCAUUAGCUGGUCUGAGAGGAUGAUCAGCCAGACUGGGACUGAGACACGGCCCAG